CUGGGGAAAAUACUACUGUUUAUAACCAUGGGAAGAAUUAAAAAGGAAGGUGGAGUUUUUUUAAGAGUUUUAAAAUAAUAAUCCAUGGGUACAAUAGACUAAAAAAGUAAAAACAAACAUUUUACUUCCAACAUGUUUUUAUUAAAUUUCAUGUUUUAUUUUUAAUAAAAAAUAACUUAAACAUACCCUCUUGUGACAAACUGCCAUAAGCUAAACUUUCUUAGAUUCGUUCAGAGUUAGACAGGAAUUAGAUUUAAAUCAUUUAUACUUCUACUUAUAUAUUUCAUCAAUAUGUUUUUCACAGUUCACCAAUGACCUACCUCAGUGUUCACAGAGCAUGGCACCAGCAUAUGCUUGGAACAUUUGAUUGCUUCAAGAGAAGAAGUGAUCGCAGGUUACAAAUUACAAAACUCUUCUAAUGGUCUAUAAUCUAAAGAAGGUCAAGAAUCAGUAUUCCUUUCACUGGACAAUUAGAGGUCCAUGACUGUGAACUUUCUAUUGAAUGCCAGACUUCAUUCAGGAUGUUUUCACUUGGGUUUUUCUCAGGAAGUAGAACAGAUCUGAUAUUUUUAGCUUCUGUGUACAGACAAGGUAAGCACUCAUUGAGAUUGGCGUUGCCCAUUCCGGAUUCUUGUUAAAUAGCUUGAAUAUGACCUCUGGCUUAGAUUUUUUUAAAUAAAUAAAAGGUGGGGGGAGUUUCA
rnacentral:lncRNA from 12 species